GUGGGGAAUUUUGGACAAUGGGCGCAAGCCUGAUCCAGCAAUGCCGCGUGUGUGAAGAAGGCCUUCGGGUUGUAAAGCACUUUUGUCCGGAAAGAAAUGGCCUGGGUUAAUACCCCGGGUCGAUGACGGUACCGGAAGAAUAAGCACCGGCUAACUACGUGCCAGCAGCCGCGGUAAUACGUAGGGUGCGAGCGUUAAUCGGAAUUACUGGGCGUAAAGCGUGCGCAGGCGGCGAUGCAAGACAGAUGUGAAAUCCCCGGGCUCAACCUGGGAACUGCAUUUGUGACUGCAUGGCUAGAGUGCGUCAGAGGGGGGUGGAAUUCCGCGUGUAGCAGUGAAAUGCGUAGAGAUGCGGAGGAACACCGAUGGCGAAGGCAGCCCCCUGGGAUGACACUGACGCUCAUGCACGAAAGCGUGGGGAGCAAACAGGAUUAGAAACCCCGGUAGUCC
rnacentral:rRNA from 1 species